AACGAACGCUGGCGGCGUGCUUAACACAUGCAAGUCGAACGCGAAAGGGACUUCGGUCCUGAGUAAAGUGGCGCACGGGUGAGUAACGCGUAGAUAACCUAUCUUCACGUCUGGAAUAAUACGCCGAAAGGGGUACUAAUACCGGAUAUUCUUGCUUUUCAUAAGUUUUGCAAGGAAAGGUGGCCUCUGUAUAUGCUACUGCGGGAAGAGUGGUCUGCGUACCAUUAGCUAGUAGGUGGGGUAAUGGCCUACCUAGGCAUCGAGGGUUAGCGGGUCUGAGAGGAUGAUCCGCCACACUGGCACUGGAACACGGGCCAGACUCCUACGGGAGGCAGCAGUGAGGAAUAUUGCGCAAUGGGGGAAACCCUGACGCAGCGACGCCGCGUGAGUGAGGAAGGCCUUCGGGUCGUAAAGCUCUGUCAAAGGGAAAGAAGUGCAUGAUGGCUAAUACCUGUCAUGUUUGACGGUACCCUUAAAGGAAGCACCGGCUAACUCCGUGCCAGCAGCCGCCGUAA
rnacentral:rRNA from 1 species